CGUGGACAAACAUACCAUGUUCCGACGUUCGUCUCCAUAAUCGAAUCGCAAAUUUUGACACGGUGGAGAGUCAACGACAUAGCAUUUUUCGCAAUGUUUCCGUCGUCGCGCAAAAGUCAAUAGACGCACUGUUAACUUCGCAUUACGUCGUCGAUAGCGUGGACAAACAUAUGAUGUUCCGACGUUCGUCUCCAUAAUCGAAUCGCAAAUUUUGACACGGUGAAGAGUCAACGGCAUAGCAUUUACUGGAUAUCAUCGAUGGAAACUUGCGGCCUUUUCCUGCUUUGAGAGAAAGAGACGAUGCAAUCGACAAUGCUGAUCCCGGACUGUGGAACUGCUCAGAUAUUAU